rnacentral:rRNA from 1 species
CCCUUAGAUGUUCUGGGCUGCACGCGUGCUACACUGAUAUUGCCAAUAUGUCAUUCUUAUCCGAAAUGGAUUGGGUAAUCAAGUAAUGAAAUUUCAUGCUUGGAAUCGGUAAUUGCAAUUUUAUCGUGAACGAGGAAUUCCUAGUAAGCACUAGUCAUCAGCUAAUGUUGAUUAUGUCCCUGCCCUUUGUACACACCGCCCGUCACUACUACUGAUUGGGUGUUCAAGUGAGAUGCUUAGACCCUUGUUGCAUGGUUCAUUAUUGUGCUCCGAAAGGAAAAAGUUUCAAGCUUGAGUGUCUAGAGGAAGUAAAAGUCGUAACA